rnacentral:rRNA from 1 species
AUGAACGCUAGCGACAGGCCUAACACAUGCAAGUCGAGGGGCAGCGGGGAGGUAGCAAUACCUUUGCCGGCGACCGGCGCACGGGUGAGUAACACGUAUGCAAUCCACCUGUAACAGGGGGAUAACCCGGAGAAAUCCGGACUAAUACCCCAUAAUAUGGGCUCUCCGCAUGGAGGGCUCAUUAAAGAGAGCAAUUUUGGUUACAGACGAGCAUGCGCUCCAUUAGCCAGUUGGCGGGGUAACGGCCCACCAAAGCGACGAUGGAUAGGGGUUCUGAGAGGAAGGUCCCCCACAUUGGAACUGAGACACGGUCCAAACUCCUACGGGAGGCAGCAGUGAGGAAUAUUGGUCAAUGGUCGGCAGACUGAACCAGCCAAGUCGCGUGAGGGAAGACGGCCCUACGGGUUGUAAACCUCUUUUGUCGGAGAGUAAAGUACGCUACGUGUAGCGUAUUGCAAGUAUCCGAAGAAAAAGCAUCGGCUAACUCCGUGCCAGCAGCCGCGGUAAUACGGAGGAUGCGAGCGUUAUCCGGAUUUAUUGGGUUUAAAGGGUGCGUAGGCGGCACGCCAAGUCAGCGGUGAAAUUUCCGGGCUCAACCCGGAGUGUGCCGUUGAAACUGGCGAGCUAGAGUACACAAGAGGCAGGCGGAAUGCGUGGUGUAGCGGUGAAAUGCAUAGAUAUCACGCAGAACCCCGAUUGCGAAGGCAGCCUGCUAGGGUGAAACAGACGCUGAGGCACGAAAGCGUGGGUAUCGAACAGGAUUAGAUACCCUGGUAGUCCACGCAGUAAACGAUGAAUACUAACUGUUUGCGAUACAAUGUAAGCGGUACAGCGAAAGCGUUAAGUAUUCCACCUGGGGAGUACGCCGGCAACGGUGAAACUCAAAGGAAUUGACGGGGGCCCGCACAAGCGGUGGAGUAUGUGGUUUAAUUCGAAGCAACGCGAAGAACCUUACCAGGCCUUGACAUCCCUUGCAGAGGUAUAGAGAUAUAUCCGAGGUUAUCAAGGAGACAGGUGGUGCAUGGUUGUCGUCAGCUCGUGCCGUGAGGUGUCGGCUUAAGUGCCAUAACGAGCGCAACCCCUAUCGACAGUUACUAACGGGUGAAGCCGAGGACUCUGUCGAGACUGCCGGCGCAAGCCGCGAGGAAGGUGGGGAUGACGUCAAAUCAGCACGGCCCUUACGUCCGGGGCGACACACGUGUUACAAUGGCAGGUACAGAAGGCAGCCAGUCAGCAAUGACGCGCGAAUCCCGAAAACCUGUCUCAGUUCGGAUUGGAGUCUGCAACCCGACUCCAUGAAGCUGGAUUCGCUAGUAAUCGCGCAUCAGCCAUGGCGCGGUGAAUACGUUCCCGGGCCUUGUACACACCGCCCGUCAAGCCAUGGAAGCCGGGAGUACCUGAAGCAUGCAACCGCAAGGAGCGUACGAAGGUAAUACCGGUAACUGGGGCU